UGGGCAACCUGCCCCCGGCUCUGGGAUAACUCCAAGAAAUUGGGGCUAAUACCGGAUAUGACCGCUGACCGCAUGGUCUGGUGGUGGAAAGUUUUUCGGCUGGGGAUGGGCCCGCGGCCUAUCAGCUUGUUGGUGAGGUGAUGGCCUACCAAGGCGACGACGGGUAGCCGGCCUGAGAGGGCGACCGGCCACACUGGGACUGAGACACGGCCCAGACUCCGUACGGGAG
rnacentral:rRNA from 1 species